rnacentral:rRNA from 1 species
UACGAAGGGGGCUAGCGUUGCUCGGAAUCACUGGGCGUAAAGGGUGCGUAGGCGGGUCUUUAAGUCAGGGUUGAAAUCCUGGAGCUCAACUCCAGAACUGCCUUUGAUACUGAAGAUCUUGAGUUCGGGAGAGGUGAGUGGAACUGCGAGUGUAGAGGUGAAAUUCGUAGAUAUUCGCAAGAACACCAGUGGCGAAGGCGGCUCACUGGCCCGAUACUGACGCUGAGGCACGAAAGCGUGGGGAGCAAACAGG